GUUUCCCUGAAAAGCCACCAACCAGGGCCCAACUGCCCAUUCUCCCUUCGUGCAGUGAAAGGACAAACAGCUGCUUGGGGUCAUGGCUGUACGGAGGUUUUUUAGAAACAUCUGGAAAAGAUGUUCGGCGCUCUUCUGCUGCAGGAAGAGCGACGUAGAGGACCUUCCUGUGCCUCCUGACAGAACUGACGAGGCACAUGAACAGGCGGACCAGAAGGGAGAAUGGUGGACACAGAUUCGUGUGUCCGAUGGACGCAGGCCUUCCUCCC